rnacentral:rRNA from 1 species
GGUGAACGCUGGCGGCAUGCCUAAUACAUGCAAGUCGAGCGAACGGACGAGAAGCUUGCUUCUCUGAUGUUAGCGGCGGACGGGUGAGUAACACGUGGAUAACCUACCUAUAAGACUGGGAUAACUUCGGGAAACCGGAGCUAAUACCGGAUAAUAUUUUGAACCGCAUGGUUCAAAAGUGAAAGACGGUCUUGCUGUCACUUAUAGAUGGAUCCGCGCUGCAUUAGCUAGUUGGUAAGGUAACGGCUUACCAAGGCAACGAUGCAUAGCCGACCUGAGAGGGUGAUCGGCCACACUGGAACUGAGACACGGUCCAGACUCCUACGGGAGGCAGCAGUAGGGAAUCUUCCGCAAUGGGCGAAAGCCUGACGGAGCAACGCCGCGUGAGUGAUGAAGGUCUUCGGAUCGUAAAACUCUGUUAUUAGGGAAGAACAUAUGUGUAAGUAACUGUGCACAUCUUGACGGUACCUAAUCAGAAAGCCACGGCUAACUACGUG